UACUCGCCAGUGUAGGCGACACGGGAGCUU
rnacentral:sRNA from 1 species